AGAAUCUUUCUUUUUCUUUCUUUUUUUUUUUCUUUAUGGCUUGCCUAACAUUUAAAAAAAUUUUUAUUUUAUUAUGUAUGUGAGUACACUGUCACUUUCUUCAGACACACACACACACACACACACACACACACACACACAGAGUAUACAUGCAGACAAAAUACUUUAUACAGAAAAUGAAAGUAAGAUUUUACUUAAAGAUUAUUGAAAUGGGGUCUUGCCUAGUAGACCUGGGUACUUGUUCUGUAGUCUAGGCUGGCCUCAAACUUUUGGUUUUAGUCUCCAGAGAGCUUGUGGCAGGAGAGAAAGCCACAUUCUGGGCUUGAUACUUAUUUAUUUAUUUAUUUAUUGAAUCUGUUGAAAGUACACGUCCAUCAAUGCCCACUUCUAUCACAGGUGACAUGAGGGUGUGUAAGGUGAUUUUUGGAACUUGGCAGAAUUUGAUUCUGAGACAACAAGGUAGCAUGGCUAUUUUGGGUAGCAUGGUAGUUUGCUUUAAUCCUAGUACUCAAGAGACAGAGGCAGAUUGGUCUUGAAGUUCAAGGCCAGCCAGGUACCAGGCUCAAAAAACUAAACAAACCCCAAACCAAAACAGUGUGUUGAAUGCACUCAAAGCCAUGACAGUCCUGUGACAGUCAGGACAACUUGAUUGAGGUAGUUUGUUCUCCUUGUUCUCCUGGGGAUUGGAUUCACAUUGCCAGGCUUGGUGGCUUCUUUAUGUGAUGUGUGGUGAGCCAUCUCUCUGACCUUCUGCAUUUACAUUUUUUUUGGUUUUGUUUUUCAAGAUGGUUUCUCUGUGUAGAUCUGAUUGUCCUGGAACUUGCUCUGUAGACCAGGCAGGCUUCAAACUCAGAGAUCCGCCUGCCUCUACUUCCUAAGCGCUGCGAUGAAAGGCAUGUGUCACCACCACCUGGCUUGCAUUAUUUCAGUCAAGAUUUCAUUUUAUUUUGUGGGUGUUUUGCCUGUACCUGUCUGCACCAUAUCCACUUAGUAUUCUCAGAGGCCAGAAGAAGGUGUCCUGGAAGAGCAGUGAGGACUAAUUUAAGCCAUCUUUAGCCUCAUACUUAAUUUUAACUUAUUCUAACUCUGUCCCAGGCCUUGUAAGGACCCCUGCAGUGGCCCAAGUCUCUGAUUCUUAUGAUGUUGUGACCCUGACAAGGCUCUGCUUGCUCUGAGCUGUAGUGUGUCCUCCUGUAGAAUGGAGCCUGUCUGCUGUGUUUCACUGUGAGGCACAAGGGAAGUACUCCCAGCACAUCUGCUCACAGCUGUCCUUGUGGAACAGGCAGGGGAGGACUCCAGGGAGGCUGUGGGUUCUCAGUGCCUCCACACAGCAGCUCCGGGAAUGGAGCAGGUGAGACUCUUUCGACCUCUCUUCCUUGGUUCUGUCCUGAGGCUGGAGGAGAGGCACAGACCUCCAUUUGCUCCCCUUCAUGAUCUUAACCUCCCUCCUUCCUGCCAGGGAGGUUACAGGAUGCUGUGGAAUAGCUCUUUGGCUGGCUAGCCUGGAAGAGAUGGAUGGUAUCAGCUUUAAAUUGCUGGGGUUGGAAGGAGUUCCUGGGCCCCCUCUUGAGUCUAAUCGUGGUGUCACUUAUGCCUCGUCUGCCACAUUGCAUUUGAUUUUCUGACCUGGUUCCUGCACAACUGCCCGGUUUCUGGGAAAGGCUCAGAUGUUACCUUUGCUCCUGAGGUUAGGAAGCUACUUCUUGGAAGGUAAAUACAACAGUAGAUCAUACUUCAUGCCACGGAGUGCCCCUGAGACCUGGAGUGGCUGGUGAACCCUUAAUAGCAUUUAAGGGCCUGUCUGCUUGUCUCUGGAAACAUCAUUAGUAAGGCCUGCGCCCUCUGGACUGCUUGGGCAUUAGAAUUGACAGGGUCAUUAACUUCUCUCCUGCAUAGAUUUCUGGGAGAUGUAUGUUUGUGCUGUUCAGGCUACUUGAAAGCAGAGAGCAGAGAACAUUACCUGUGUUCGAUUUGACACAGGGUGUCAGCCACACUGGAAAACCCCUUGCAGAGGUAACACCUCUUGAGAAGGAAUAGCCAGUUUAGCAUUCCUACUAGAAAAUUACAGUAGAUAAGGCCAGUUGGCUCGUGAUAGGAGUUAUAUUACUCAAGAAGUGCUAGUGUUGAACCGGAAGCCAACAUUUAGCCUGAGGCCAAAAUGAGGUACCUGAGAAGAGAUUUGUUAUCUGGAAUCACAUACCAAUCCUUGGUGCUGAGCUGAGUUUCGGCGUCACCAGGCUCUAUGAGUGAAUAUUAUGUUCCCUUUGCCUAAGUUAUACACCCCUCCCUCAACCCUUUUAUUUUAGACAAGGUCUAACUUAGAGCCCUGGAUGGCCUAGAACUUACUAUGUAGACCAGGAAUGUGCACCUGUGAUCUUGCCUGGUGUUUGAGGAGGUUAGCAGUCAGAUCCCAUGAACUGGAGUCAUGGUAGCUAUAAAGCCACUUUGUGAGGUGUGUGUGUCGUGAACCUCAAGUCAGGUAACUGCCAGGAAACUGCUCUUAACAACUGAGGCAUCCCUACAGCCCCAGUAUGCAAGGGGGCAGUUCUGCCGUGAAGUCCAUCCCUGGGCAGCCAGGUAAUGGACCAUAAUGAUGGGGUUCAUUUCCACAUAGUCCUGCCUGCGGGUCCAGGUGGGUUUGUGGGAUGCUGAGGUGCUUUGGGGAAGGUUUGCCGCCCACCUUUCAGACACUGGCUCACUAGGCACCGCUAAUGCCCGGGGGAAGGUCCGGGGUAGUUAAUCAUUGUCAGCGCUGGGCAGCAGGUCCUCUUGGACCUGUGUAGAAAGAGGGCACACACCUGUCUGGCUUCUGGUUGACCCAGAUAGGGUCUGUCUAAGGGACUGAAGUCCAAGGCUGUGUGAGAAAACCCACUACUGACCCUGGCUGAGAGGUCACGCAUGUCCUUGCUUUAGGCCUGACUCCACACCAGCUCUUGACUCUGCCUCCUCCUCAGAGUGUGCCUCAGGGAGCUUCAGCGUCCCUCUUGUGCCAGGUGGCACUGAUCUUGUCUGAGGGGACAUGCUCUUCUGAUUACAUACAGCCCACCCAGCAGCUUUCCUGAGUGUCUGCCUUCCUGGCCUCAGGAAAUGGCCACAGUCAACUAGUUAGCUCUACCAAAUCAUGGUGCCUGGCUGAUGGGACCGGAUCAAACACUUCCCUUGUCCGUGGGGAGCAGAAGAGAGAGAGUCCUUGUGUUAAGAAAAAGUUGAAGGUUGGGACUGGACCAUUUGGCCUAGGAGUCCCAUUUGCUGUCUGUGAUUCUCUAAUGCUAAUGCACAGAUUAGUCAGAGAUCUUGAAGUUUAAAGCCCUGGUGGGACAGGUUAGUUAGCUUUAGCCCAAGAGUGCAGCUAAUGCCUGUGUAUCCAGUGCGAGGUGCUGACUCUGGACUACUGAUGGAACCAGAGGUGUUCACAUGCUCUCUUUGCCAUGCUUGGGAUGCAGUCUAGGCCUCGUGUAUAAAUUUCAAAUACUCUUGUGGGUGUCUGCCAUACUAUACUGUUCAUACUGAGCUGCACAGUGCCCCCAGGUAGGUGCUAAGCCUGUCUCGUACUCUUGGAGCAACACUAGGUGCAACUUCUAGAAAGUUCACUGGGUAGACAGCUGCUGAGUGUUUUAAACAGAGGAAAGAGGAGACUGGAAACCAGGUGGUCAACUGCUCUUUCAGCCAAGUUUCAGAACACGAGUGUAUGUGGUGAGUGACUUCCUUCGGUUGUAUGGUGAGAAGGAAGAAUAUUCCAGGCCUAGUGUGACCUGAUACCUACGGUAUGUGAACCCUUAAUUCCAGCACUCAGGAGGAAGAAGCAAGUAGAUUCUGAAUCUGAGGCCAGGGCUACACAGAGACUCUUGUCU
rnacentral:lncRNA from 1 species